ensembl:snRNA U6 U6 spliceosomal RNA
GUGUUCACUUCAGCAGCACAUAUACUAAAAUUUGAAUGAUACAGAGAAGAUUAACAUGACCUCAGCGCAAGGAUGAUAAGCAAAUUCAUGAAGCCUUCUAUAUUUUU